ACUAUGAAAGAUUAUGUAUAUAUAGUUAUCCAGGAACCAUACAAAGGUAAGGAAUCACAUACGUUCUGCAUUCCAUUCGGUUUUCGUGUGCUUUAAAGUUGGUAAGGCAUCAUAAAAAAUACAAUAGUAAUCACUCUGGUUUGUGAGAAUUGCCAUUUGAAAUUCAGGUUGACCUGGUUGAGCCACCACCCGCGCUCCUUCCCUGCGUGGUCUGCUCUCUCCCUCCCAGCGUCCCUUCCCUCGGUGGAUUGAUGCGGGGGAUCGUCUAGAAGCACAGUCUCUGGUGGCGCUGCUUUUACUGCUGCACGACGGCUCUCCCUCGACACGCUGCUGCUGCUCCUCUCUGACCCGCUUAGCUGCAACUUCAUCCACCAACAGCCAGCACGAUAUGAUGAUUCUCAUGAAUCGAUUUGUCUUCCUGGAGUAGAUCGGGAUGAACAUCUGGAUUUUAUUUGGGAUUGGAAGGCCAAGGAGAACGAGAAGGAAGGUGCCGAUGUGGAUGCAACAAUGAAAAAUGAUGCCGACACCGGUGAUGAGGAACUCCAAAAAUAGUUUGGUAGGUAUUUUUACCGAGCAGAAGUUGGCGCCUUCAUCCUUGAGGUCAAGCCGGUGCUGAUGCGUGGAUCCCUGCGAUGCUGAAUCUGGUGGUAAACAAGGUUGUCACUAUUGUCCUUGUCCAUGCCGUUCUCCCUAUUAUUUAUCCUCGAUAAAAACCCCGAUUGCUUAACUCUGUUAUUAUGAUUUUGCCCAUUUGUGAUUGCCUUCUCUUUCCUGAAAGAAUUACAACAUUCUAGAAUAAGUUAUUUCUGAACUUAUGAUAUUCUGCAUGUUUUGAUCAUAUCGUAGGUUCCCUGUUGCAUGGGUGUUUCUUCAAGGAUAGCACAAAUGGCUAUAUUCAUGCAGAACAUCUCUGUUAUUGUAAAGAUACUUCUGCAACAUAAAUUGGUCAUACAUGCCAAUAUUUUAUGUAGAAAAUUGUUCAUGGCAUUUUGAUUUAACUCCGUGAUUUUCAUUAUUCAAGAAAACAUCAAGAAAGCAUACUGACUUUUCCCUUUGGCCCUGGAUUUUUCGAUGAGGUAACAUGGCCGUGGACAACCAUGCCACUUGUGGAACGAUGGUCCAAGCCAUAGGUAGAAAUAGUAUCUUCAUUUCUCAUUUAUGUUAGAUGAAUUAUUACUUGCUUUUGCUUUUGGUUAGGAUUUGGCUCGAAUUAGCAAUUGCCCAAAAGUUAAAUUACCUUUGAGUUAUUUAUUUUGGGUUCUAUGCUCUGUAGGUAAACAUAUACAGACGCUUAGUACUAUAAUCAUGUUAUAUAAAUUAUUAACCUAUAUAAUUUUGUGCUUUAACAUUUUAUGGACCACAAUUAAAUGUUUCUUAUGAUAAGUAUAUAAUUGUAAGACCGAAGUUUAGUUUUUCAAAUCAAAAUUUAGUGUUGGUGUCGAACAUUGUGUGCUCUGGUUCUGUUUUACACUUGUAAUAAUCCAACCAUUUUGGCAUUCAAAGUGUUGGCAUCUGGUGUUUCUUUUUAGCUUAUAAAACUUCAUAGUAUUGCAUCCACCGGACAGUAGCUUGUGGUGCUACUGCAAUCAAAUCAUGUAGUCUUUGCCUAUUUGUAUCAUUACUAUUGUAGCAUUUUUAUGAGCAAGGUUGAUGUUUUAGAUGCCUUUUCUUUUCUUCUCUGCAUAGCGAGCCUAUGCUAUAAAUUUUUCGUGAGCUCCAUAGUUUGGUUGCUUCUGUUUUUUCAAUGGCUAUCCCAGUUUAACUAAUUUGUCUUGUACUAAAUCA